rnacentral:lncRNA from 1 species
UUUUGCUCUAACAGCCGGUGGGAAGUCAUAAGUCAGCCAUUUUGGGACCUAUGUAUGCAAAAAUCACACGAAAAAAAUUAAAACUUAUAAUAGUCAAAUGUGUUAUUUUCGAAAUCUAAUGGUGCAGUGAAGUUUCAAAAGGGAUAGUGCCGAGAUUUAGGGGUUGUUUAGCAACAUCUGAAUGGUUAAGUGUUGAACCAGUAAGUAAGAGGUCUGAACCAUUAAGUGCUGAACCAGUAAGAAAGAGGUCUGAACCAUUAAGAGCUAGUAUAAUGCUUAAUCGUUCAGAGGCAAAUGUCUGACCAAUUCAGAUUAGAGGUCUUAACCAUUCAGACUCUAUAUAAUGCUUAAUCAUUUAGAGGCAAAUGUCUGAACCCAUUCAGACAUCUGCUCGCGAAACAAAAAGUCUAAAUCAUUAAGUGUUGAACCAGUAAGAGGAGGUCUGAACCAUUAAGAGUCUUAUUAAGAGGUAAACAAACAGCCCCUUAGAGAGAAAAAGAGAUAUCGAGUCCAAUUUGGCCUUCUUAAUACCAUAAAGGUUUGUCUAUUUGUAUGUUUUUGUGUCACAUAGUGAGAAUACAAGAGUCCAUUAUGCUAACGUGCUAACAUAUGGGCCAAGAACUAUACAGUUUUAUGUAUCAUUAAAUUUUUAGUUUGUCACGUGAAACUAUGUAUUAUUCAAGAAAAGAAUCACUUGAUCAAACUUUGGGCAGAGCAACACAAAUUAGAAAUGUUUGCUGAUAAUUUAGUAAAAUCUUACACAAUGAUGCAUGUGACAAAUACUAGAUUUGAGUAGGGAUAGCAAUUCCUACAUUAAAACGAUAACACGGCACGAAGUUAACAGGUUUCGUGUCUAUAACAGGUCGACACGUUAAGAUCUGUUAAUGACACGUUUAUAAUUUUAAACAAAAAAAAUGUGGGGCUCCUAAUUUUAAAUAAAAGAAUACCGGGAAGUAAAGUUUAUAUAUUUAAUAACAUGUCGUCCGUGUCUUCACAAGUUGUUCGGGUUCGGGUUUGA